ensembl:lncRNA
GGGUCGGGGUGGGUCUGUGGAGGGAGGAUGGGCACUGCAGACAGGGGUCAUGGCCCAAGGGGAGGUACAGAGGCCGCUGGCACUUACUGGCAGCUUUUACCUAGUGAGCCUCUAGAAUUCUUGGGAAAUCUGCAACUGGUUAGAAAUAUGCUUGAAACCACGCACAGGGAAGAGAAGGUUUUCAGCUCAAGAGUAAUGUCGAGGGAUUUCCCUGGUGGUCCAGUGGCUAAGACACUGCACUCCCAGUGCAGGGGACCCAGGUUCCAUCCCUGGUCAGGGAGCUAGAUCCCACAUGCUGCAACUAAGAGUUUGUAUGCCACAGCUCAAGAUCCCACAUGCCGAGAUGUAUAUCAAAGAUUCUGCAUGCUGCAACUAAGACCCAGCACAGCCAAAUAAAUAAUAAAUAUUGUUUUUUGUAAAAGUAAUGUCAGGAACACAGAAGAGCACAGGGGCAUGUACAUGUAGGCUUGAGGGCCCACUGAAGCUCAACCACAGGCCACCCUUCUUUCUGCUUCCCCCAAACUCUCCGCAUGGGUGCUUUGACCGUGAAUUGUGUGAUUCUUUGCUGUGGGACACAGCAGUCCCUCAGAAGAGGGAGAAACCCCUGUCUUACUGUAGCUCAGUGUUCAUUCAUGUGCCUAGUGGUUGUGGGCCUGGGUUGGGGGUGACGAAGAUGACCUGUUGUUAGAUCUUGGCACUGACUGUAGCUCCCCUGUGUGCCUUGGGGAGACACUUCGUUGUGAAGCCUCAACAAACUUACUGUAAAAUGAGGAUCAUAGCACUUGUCUAUGGGUGGGCAGAGUCAAUGUGAAAUAUAGCAGCUGCCCAAUAAAUGACCCUUUUUUUCUCCUUUCCCGUGGCCACUUGCUGAGGAUAAAAGGACGUUACCAUAGCCACCAGGUAUAUUUCAGAAUGUCUGUCUUAACCCUUUCCUACUCCCCAGUGCUACCUCCACCCCCCAUGGCUACCACACCAAACCAGGAAAGGCUGCUUGACACUGGAGUGUUUGCCGAAACCACCUCUGGUACCUGCCUUUAUUCCACGGACCACCUGUUGGCUGCCUGCAGGAACUGCCCUCCUGGAAGCCAGAAUGAGAAGGAGUGCAAAAGAGCAAGAGAGCUCUGUACUCUCAGGAUCAUCCUCAGGUUGGCUACUCUCAUGACAGCAAAAGGACUGCAGCAGUUCCAGACCUCACAUCUACACUCUAUACCAUCUGGAGCCAGAGAGAGACUCUGUAUCCAAG